GGAGAGUUGGCCGAGUGGUUUAAGGCGGCAGUCUUGAAAACUGUUGAGGUGAAAGCCUCCGGGGGUUCGAAUCCCUCACUCUCCG
rnacentral:tRNA from 2 species